AUUGAACGCUGGCGGCAGGCCUAACACAUGCAAGUCGAACGAGUGGCGGACGGGUGAGUAAUGUCUGGGAACCUGCCUGAUGGCGGGGGAUAACUGCUGGAAACGGUAGCUACUACCGCAUACCAUCAGAUGUGCCCAGAUGGGAUUAGCUUGUUGGUGGGGUAACGGCUCACCAAGGCGACGAUCCCUAGCUGGUCUGAGAGGAUGACCAGGCACACUGGAACCUAGACACGGGCCAGACUCCGAAGGGAGGCAGCAGUGGGGAAUAUUGCACAAUGGGCGAAAGCCUGAUGCAGCCAUGCCGCGUGUAUGAAGAAGGCUUUCGGGUUGUAAAGUACUUUCAGCGGGGAGGCGUUACCCGAAGAAGAAGCACCGGCUAACUCCGUGCCAGCAGCCGCGGUAAUUC
rnacentral:rRNA from 1 species